GUGCUCGCUUCAGCAGCACAUAGACCAAAAUUGGAACAAUACAGAGAUUAGCAUGGCCCCUGAGCAAGAAUGACAUGCAAAUUCAUGAAGUGUUAAAAAAAAAU
rnacentral:snRNA from 1 species